GUGGGGAAUAUUGGACAAUGGGCGAAAGCCUGAUACAGCCAUGCCGCGUGUGUGAAGAAGGUCUUCGGAUUGUAAAGCACUUGAAGUUGGGAGGAAGGGCAGUAAGUUAAUACCUUGCUGUUUUGACGUUAUCGACAGAAUAAGCACCGGCUAACUUCGUGCCAGCAGCCGCGGUAAUACGAAGGGUGCAAGCGUUAAUCGGAAUUACUGGGCGUAAAGCGCGCGUAGGUGGUUUUGUUAGUUGUAGUUGAAAUCCCCGGGCUCAACCUGGGAACUGCAUCCAAGAAUGCAUGAGUAGAGUAAGGUAGAGGGUAGGGGAAUUUCCUGUGUAGCGGUGAAAGGCGUAGAUAUAGGAAGGAACACCAGUGGCGAAGGCGACUACCUGGACUGAUACUGACACGGAGGUGCGAAAGCGUGGGGAGCAAACAGGAUUAGAUACCCCUGUAGUCC
rnacentral:rRNA from 1 species